UACGGAGGGGGCGAGCGUUGUCCGAAGUUACUGGGCGUAAAGGGCGCGUAGGCGGGAAGCUAAGUCCGCUGUCAAAGCCCGGGGCUUAACCCCGGAAGGUCGGUGGAGACUGGUUUUCUUGAAGCUGCCAGGGGGAGAUGGAAUUACCGGUGUAGCGGUGAAAUGCGUAGAUAUCGGUAGGAACACCAGUGGCGAAGGCGGUCUCCUGGAGCAGACUUGACGCUGAGGCGCGAAAGCGUGGGUAGCAAACAGG
rnacentral:rRNA from 1 species